GCCGGGGUGGCCUAGCCUGGUCCAUGGCGGCGGCCUGCUAAGCCGCUGGGGCAGUGGCCCCGCCCGGGUUCAAAUCCCGGCCCCGGCGCCA
rnacentral:tRNA from 1 species